rnacentral:rRNA from 1 species
AUUGAACGCUAGCGGCAUGCUUUACACAUGCAAGUCGAACGAGUGGCGGACGGGUGAGUAAUACAUCGGAACGUGCCCAGUAGCGGGGGAUAACUACUCGAAAGCGUGGCUAAUACCGCAUACUAUCGGCGCGGCCGAUAUCGGAUUAGCGAGUGGGCGGGGUAAAGGCUCACCAAGGCAACGAUCCUUAGCUGGUUUGAGAGGACGACCGGCCACACUGGGACUGAGACACGGCCCGGACUCCUACGGAAGGCAGCAUUGGGGAAUUUUGGACAAUGGGGGAAACCCUGAUCCAGCCAUCCCGCGUGUAUGAGAAGGCCUUCGGGUUGUAAAGUACUUUUAGCAGGGAAGCGGUAUCUGCAGAAUAAGCACCGGCUAACUACGUGCCAGCAGCCGCGGUAAUAC